rnacentral:rRNA from 1 species
UACAGAGGAGCCAAGCGUUGUCCGGAUUGACUGGGCGUAAAGCGCACGCAGGCGGUCUGGCGCGUGGGGUGUGAAAUCUGGCCGCUUAACGGCCAGGCGCAUCCCAUACGGCCGGACUGGAGCCUUGCAGAGGUCGGUGGAAUUGCCGGUGUAGUGGUGAAAUGCGCAGAUAUCGGGAGGAACACCAGUAGCGAAGGCGGCUCGCCUGGGCCAUUCCUGACGCUGAGACGCGAAAGCUAGGGGAGCAAACGGGGAUUAAGAU